rnacentral:rRNA from 1 species
CUACGGGUGGCUCCAGUGGGGAAUCUUAGACAAUGGGGGAAACCCUGAUCUAGCCAUGCCGCGUGAGUGAUGAAGGCCUUAGGGUCGUAAAGCUCUUUCGCCAGGGAAGAUAAUGACGGUACCUGGUAAAGAAACCCCGGCUAACUCCGUGCCAGCAGCCGCGGUAAUACGGAGGGGGUUAGCGUUGUUCGGAAUUACUGGGCGUAAAGCGCGCGUAGGCGGAUUGUUAAGUCGGGGGUGAAAUCCCGGGGCUCAACCCCGGAACUGCCCUCGAUACUGGCAGUCUUGAGUUCGAGAGAGGUGAGUGGAAUUCCGAGUGUAGAGGUGAAAUUCGUAGAUAUUCGGAGGAACAUCAGUGGCGAAGGCGACUCACUGGCUCGAUACUGACGCUGAGGUGCGAAAGUGUGGGGAGCAAACAGGAUUAGAUACCCGAGUAGUC